rnacentral:rRNA from 1 species
AGUUCAAGAGUACGUGAAACCGUCUAGCGGUAAAGAGAGGGGCUCUCGAAGUUCUGAGGGGGACUCAACCUUGGUGGUGCUUGGCCUGGGCGUAUUUGAUCAGCAAUGACUUUGCGUUUAGUCCCGAGUACCUCCCGGACGCACUUUCUCCUCAGUUGACGGCAGGAACUGUUAGGAGCGGACUGAAGGCCCAGGGUGAAGUUGUUGGUUAUGCCGGCAGCCCUUGGUGUCCUAGCUUCGCAUCUGACAGGUAUGUAAGCAAACUCGUAUAGCGAGCAAUUCUCUAUUGCGGUUUGCAUCUCUCUGCCGAGUAGGUCGGUGGCCUCUCUCACCCGUCUUGAAACACGGAC